UGUGUGUGUGUGUGUGUGUAUGUGUGUGUGUGUUUGUGUUACUGGAGAUUGAACCCGGGGUGCUCUACCACUGAACUAAAUCUACACACACACACACACACACACACACACACC
rnacentral:miRNA from 1 species